CUCUUCCUCACCCUUGGCCUGCCAUACUUCUCACUUUCUCAACUCUUUUCUUUCUUUUCACACAAAAACAAACACACUCAUAUCUCCCUUCUCACACUCCCACCGGUGCAUCACUCCACCAUCUCCACCAUCUUUUCCGGCAAGAUCACGGCAAAGCUCUCUAGGAACCUCUAAGGCAUAUUCACCUCUUUUGAUUUAAGGUCUAGCUAAUCUUAUUUGGAACUUGGAAAAUUAGGCUUUUGCGGGUUGCAAGGUAAAUCCUUGAGUGUGUGGGUAAAGCCGCUGCCUAUAUGGCCAAAAGACUACAUGUAAAAGGGGUACUAUGCGACACGUCGCUCCCUGCUGCCUAUUGGGGGGG